rnacentral:lncRNA from 1 species
GGUUAUACAAUUCCAAAAUUAUCAAAAUCUCAUUUUCCAACUAAAAAUUACAUUGCUCUUUAUAAAAUUUGCUGUUUUGACAUCAUUUGCCACUUGAUUAUUAUCUUUUGGUUAGAUUCUUAGGGACUUCAACUAUUAGUUGCUUUUUUUUUCACUUUUACUUUUUGAGCACUAGUAUACAAACACAACCUUACUAGUAUACAAACACAACCUUACUAGUAUACAAACACAACCUUACUAGUAUACAAAACACAAGACACGUUGUAGCAUAACAGAUACUAGUCCAAGUUCAAUGCACAUAAUCUCUGGUGAUUACAUCAGCAACACAUAAAACAUUGAGUAUC